AUGGUGGACCAGGCGACCGCUGGCAACUUUGUUGCGAGAGGAAAGUCCGGGCUCCGCAGGGCAAGGUGCUGGGUAAUUCCCAGUGGGGGCAACCCCAAGGAAAGUGCCACAGAAAACAAACCGCCCUUCGAAAGAAGUGGUAAGGGUGAAAACGUGGGGUAAGAGCCCACGGAGGCUGCUGGCGACAGUGGCUUCGGUAAACCCCACCUGGAGCAAGGCCGAACAGAAGGCUUGGCUGCCCGUCAUGCGCCUUCGGGUAUGGCUGCUUGAGGCGUGUGGUAACACACGUCAUAGAAGAAUGGUCGCCACAACGGAAAUUUGAUAGUUCCUUUGUACAGAACCCGGCUUACGGUCCACCAUGACC
rnacentral:RNase_P_RNA from 2 species